rnacentral:rRNA from 1 species
CCCACCCAUGUACCCAGCCUCACCUCCAAGGUUCCAAUGAAGGGAACGCCGGCGGGGAAGAAGCAGGACAGAUCCGGCACAGGUAUGUGUGCGGCCGGAUCUACAGGGGGGGGCGCCGGCAGCAUGAAGAUGCAGGUGGGGCGGAGGGGGAAGGUGCCGGAUUCGUCAGCGGACUGCUAAUAGGCACUCCAAAAGGAGAUGGAGCUUAAUCCCAAUCGCGAGAGUGCUCUACAACAUACGUCGACAGGAGAGAUGGCUCAUUGAUUAACCCAUCUGGCUACUUAACCGCAUCCGUACAUGAAGAUGCAAUCUGUUCUUUGUGUUCUUGAGCAGCUUUGGGAGGAGGAGGAAUUAGCAAGGAUGAGCGGCAGUGGCAAUAUGCUUGCGUGAGUGAGAUGCCAUGUGGUUUCAUAAGUGAGCACUAGGCAUGUCUGAUGUAAAAAGGGUGUUGAUUAAAGAGACCAUAGUGCUUUAACAUAAUCUUGACACAAAUUACCUAUCCUGGAAUUUGUCCGUGGUGGUGCUGAGGAAUAAAAUGUCACCACUUGUUCAUUAACACUCAC